GCCAUCAUAGUUCUGUGGAAGAACACUGGUUUUGUAAACUAAGGAUCGUGAGUUUGAUUUUCACUGUUGGCU